GAUGAAGAACGCAGCGAAAUGCGAUACUUGGUGUGAAUUGCAGAAUCCCGUGAACCAUCGAGUCUUUGAACGCAAGUUGCGCCCGAAGCCAUUAGGCCGAGGGCACGCCUGCCUGGGCGUCACACGUCGUUGCCCCCCCAUCUACUCCUUCGGGAUUGCGGGGGGCGGAUGAUGGCCUCCCGUGCGCCUCGUCGCGCGGUUGGCAUAAAUGCCAAGUCCUCGGCGACGCACGCCACGACAAUCGGUGGUUGCGAAACCUCGGUUGCCCGUCGUGUGCGGUCGUCGCGCAUCGAGGGCUCGAAAAAAUUGCCGGGCUCCGGCUCGGCUUUCAACGCGACCCCAGGUCAGGCGGGGUUACCCGCUGAAUUUAAGCAUAUCAAAAGCGGAGGA
rnacentral:misc_RNA from 1 species